rnacentral:misc_RNA from 1 species
GAAAUGCGAUACGUAAUGUGAAUUGCAGAAUUCAGUGAAUCAUCGAAUCUUUGAACGCACCUUGCACUCUUUGGUAUUCCGAAGAGUAUGUCUGUUUGAGUGUCAUGAAACUCUCAACCCCCUUGUUUUGUAAUGAGACGAGUGUGGGCUUGGAUUAUGGCUGUUGCCGGCGUAACUGUCGACUCGGCUGAAAUAUACGAGCUACCCAUUUCUAAGAAAUAGACGGUUUGACUCGGCGUAAUAACAUAUUUCGCUGAGGACGUCACAUUCUUAAUCGUCAGUGGUGCUUCUAAUGCGACAUCUAAAUUUAAGCUUUAGACCUCAAAUCAGUCAGGACUACCCGCUGAACUUAA